rnacentral:rRNA from 1 species
GACGAACGCUGGCGGCGUGCUUAACACAUGCAAGUCGAACAGAAAGGCCUCUUUCGGGGGGUACUCGAGUGGCGAACGGGUGAGUAACACGUGAGUAACCUGCCCUUGACUUUGGGAUAACUUCAGGAAACUGGGGCUAAUACCGGAUAGGAGCUCCUGCUGCAUGGUGGGGGUUGGAAAGUUUCGGCGGUUGGGGAUGGACUCGCGGCUUAUCAGCUUGUUGGUGGGGUAGUGGCUUACCAAGGCUUUGACGGGUAGCCAGCCUGAGAGGGUGACCGGCCACUGUGGGACUGGGAUCCGGCCCAGCCUCCGACGGGGGGAGGAGGGGGGGAUGAUUGCACAAGGGGUGGAAGCCUGAUCCAGCACCGCCGGGGGCGGGUGGACGGCCUUGGGGUUGAAACCCGCUUUCCCUCUGGCCGAAGCUUUGUGUGACGGUGGUGGAUAAAGAAGCCCCGCCUAACUACGUC